GGACAAUCCUAGGAAGCUUCUUCAGAGCAAACAGGCAGCGACGCCGAGGAUCCGAUCGUGAAGGUGCGGCUGGUCCCGGCCGCUGGCAUUGUCCAAAACCCAAAGAGCAGGAAUAAUCGCCGAAUUAGCCGCGUCGGGCGUGACUAUUUAAAAGUCCAUCACCACAGCCUCCAUUUGCUCUGUCUUUCUCCUGCUGAGGCUAAAAAAUGCCUCCCAUGAUUUCCCCAAAAAAAACAACACAUCGACAUAUAUCAGGCCCGGCUGGAAUCAUAAAUAAAGCGGGCUGCCAGCCUCUUGCUGCUUGACAUAGUGAUAACAGAGAUGAGCUCGGGCCAGGGUGCGAGAUGCAUUACAGAGAUGGAACUGAGAGGGAUUUCAUCUCUUUAUUUGCCCGUCCCACCCCCUGAGAAAGUAAUGUUAUUGCACCUUAACAGACAUCUCCUCCGUCUCUCAGCAUGACAGCACAAAACUCAGAGGCGAUAUCACCACGAUAAACAGCACUAAUACUCUUCUUUUUUUUUUAAAGCUCUUUUUAAAGGCUGAGAUAACCUUACUUUUAGUUCCUAUUAUAGGGCCAAACUGCAAAACCCCCUUGAUCCUACAAUUCCCAUGAUGCAACAUCGAUAGCAUCUUCUUGUUAGACACUCCCUGCCUGGUAAAUGCUCUUUCAAACUUCAUGCCUCCAGGCUUUCUGUUCAAAAUUUGUUGUCGAGAUUAAGCAAGUGGAGUCACAUAGAAGACAAAUAAAACUAUUUUGACAGGCUGAGUGCUGCUUCCUGUUACUUGUACAUUUACUGUGACA